GAUGAACGCUGGCGGCGUGCCUAAUACAUGCAAGUCGAGCGAACGGACGAGAAGCUUGCUUUUCUGAUGUUAGCGGCGGACGGGUGAGUAACACGUGGAUAACCUACCUAUAAGACUGGGAUAACUUCGGGAAACCGGAGCUAAUACCGGAUAAUAUUUUGAACCGCAUGGUUCAUAAGUGAAAGACGGUCUUGCUGUCACUUAUAGAUGGAUCCGCGCUGCAUUAGCUAGUUGGUAAGGUAACGGCUUACCAAGGCUACGAUGCAUAGCCGACCUGAGAGGGUGAUCGGCCACACUGGAACUGAGACACGGUCCAGACUCCUACGGGAGGCAGCAGUAGGGAAUCUUCCGCAAUGGGCGAAAGCCUGACGGAGCAACGCCGCGUGAGUGAUGAAGGUCUUCGGAUCGUAAAACUCUGUUAUUAGGGAAGAACAUAUGUGUAAGUAACUGUGCACAUCUUGACGGUACCUAAUCAGAAAGCCACGGCUAACUACGUG
rnacentral:rRNA from 1 species